rnacentral:lncRNA from 10 species
GCCUCGGGCCGCUGCGCGCCGGGUACAGACGCGGGAGGGGCCUCGGUUCCCGCCAGGCGUGGGGCGCAUGCGGGUCUCCCGGAAGCCCAGACCCCGGGCAGGCCCGAGCAGCCGAGUGGGGCGGGACAGGCGCGCCCCCCGCCCCGGCGCCCAGCACCUCGGACAGUGUCUGCGGCCGCGCAGAGCCGGCGGCCAGCCUGGGAGCGGCCCAGAGGGCGCCCGGCGGGUGCAGUGGACGUCGUCAGCGCGCCGCGUGGGGGCCUUUGCAGAUUAAGGGACCUCCGCGGCCCCGCGCGGAGCGCUCUGUCACUGAUGAUGGAGGGGCCACGGCGGUCCGCACCAUCCCCCGUGCCUCAGUUUUCCCAUCUGUGAGGCUCAUGGUGUGACCAGGGACCUCCGUUUUAAAAUCACCCACUUUCUUUUUCUUCCUUCUCCUCUCACCCCUUCAUCCCGUCCCUCUCUGGACACUGCGCCCCUCUGCGCAUUCCAGAGGGGACCCUCAUCCUGAAACAAUUCCCGGCGCGGAACCCCAGCUGAAUGCUCCUGCUUGGGGCGGGGGGUCGCCAACAAUUAGUCCAACAUCCUCGACAGCCACCCCUCCUAACCGACAACUGCCCACGACAGCCAUGGGAACAAGACACAGACCCUGCCCUUACCCCACUCCCCACGGUGCCCACGGCAAGUUUCCCUAGAAGAACUCGAUGGCAGCCUGGGCAACAUAGAGAGACCCCAUCUCUACAAAAAAAAUCAUUUAAAAAAAUUAGCUGGGCGUGGUGGUGCACCUGAAGAGGCUGAGGCAAGAGGAUCGUUUGAGCCCAGGGAGCUCCAGGCUGCAGUGAGUCGUGAUCAUACCACUGCACUCCAGCCUGGAUGACAAAGUGAGAUCUUGCCUCAAAAACUAACAAACACACAAAACCUGAGGAUAAAUUUUUAAUUUUAGGGUGGCACUUUAUUUAUUGUUUGUUUGUUUUUUGGAGACAGUCUCACUCUAUACCCCAGGCUGGAGUGCAGUGGCGUGAUCUUGGCUCACUGCAAACUCCACCUCCCAGUUCAAGUGAUUCUCAUGCCUCAGCCUCCCGAGUAGCUGGGAUUACAAGCGCCCGCCACCAAGCCUGGCUAAUUUUUGUAUUUUUAGUAGAGACGGGGUUUCUCCAUGUUGGCCAGGGUGGUCUCAAACUCCUGACCUCAGGUGAUCCACCUGCCUUGGCCUCCCAAAGUGCUGGAAUUACAGGCAUGAGCCACUGCGCCCAGCCAAGGUGACACUUUAGAACGCUAGUUGGGCAUCUUCUCGCUUUGCUGGGUCUCCAAUUAAAACCUGCUUUUUCCUCCCACCAAUCUUGACUGCACCACUGCACUCCAGCCCUGGCGACAGAGUGAGACUUUGUCUCUAAACAGUUAAUUUCAACUGUUUCUUUUGACUUUUUCAGUAUGACUAGUCGAAAUGUUUAAAUGACUUGCAUGGCUCACGUUGGUGGCUUGCAUGAUUUUUCUGCGGGACAGUGCUGUCUCUGUGAUCACAGUCUGCCCCUACCAGCUGCUGCAGCAGGUACACUAAGCCCUUGGAGCUUUGCCUCUUGCCCACGUAAUAGUGCUGGGCCGGAGUGCUGCUCAGCACGGUGUUCUAUCUUAACCUGAACAUUUCCUUACUAUUAAUCCCAGGUCUUUAGAUAAACUCAACCAAUUGUAAACCAGAAAAUGUUUAAAUUUACCUACAGCCUGGAAGCCCCCUGCCCCCACCGCUUCAAAUUUUCCUGCCUUUCUGGACCAAAUCAAUGUAUUUCUCAAAUGCAUUUGAUUGAUGUCUGACGCUUCCUUAAAAUGUAUAAACCAAGCUGCACCCAACCUCCUUGGCACAUGUUCUCAGGGCCUCCUGAGGGCUCUGUCACAGGCCAUGUGUCAGGCCUCUGAGCCCAAGCUAAGCCAUCAUAUCCCCUGUGACCUGCACGUAUACAUCCAGAUGGCCUGAAGUAACUGAAGAAUCAUAAAAGAAGUGAAAAUGGCCUGUUUCUGCCUUAACUGAUGACAUUACCUUGUGAAAUUCCUUCUCCUGGCUCAUCCUGGCCCACUGAGCACCUUGUAUCCCCCACCCCUGCCAGCCAGAGAACAACCCCCUUUGACUGUAAUUUUCCACUACCUACCCAAAUCCUAUAAAAUGGCCCCACCCCUAUCUCCCUUCACUGACUCUCUUUUCAGACUCAGC